ACCCCAAGUCAAAGCGUCAAGCUGCAUACUAGAUUUCUGAAGUCGCCUGCUUGGCCGUCUUUCAAGUUUAGUUUAUUUCCUUUCAUUCCUGCUCUAAAGCUCUUUAAUAAACUUUCAUUCCUGCUCUAAAACUUGCUCCUCUCUCUGCUAAAAGAGAGAGAUAAAAGAAUUCUGAUAAAAGAAUUCAGUUGAAUUCUUCUUUCUGAGGGGGAAAAAAUGGCGGUUGCUGCUUACUCAUACGGAUGUGGACUCAGUGCAGAUGAGAUCAAAAUGUGAUCUGAAUGUACCAAGUAAUACAAAAGCUGAUAUGAACCUGAAUUCUUCCCAAAGGAAGAAAACUGCAAAUGCCAGAGCCCCAAUUUAGCAAACAGAGGCACUAAAUUUCCAAUGAAAAGUGUUUUUAAGCCAGCAGCAUGGGUUGAAAGGAGUGGAAAGGAAAAUCUGAAGAGAUAGAUAGAAUACUUCAUCUUUCCAUUCAACAUGUCUUAUGAGAAUCUGCUAAGACACAUAAUGUAUAACAAUUCAUUAUAGAA